AUCGCUUCUUGGCCUUUUGGUUAAGAUCAGGUGUAGUAUAUUUCCUUAUC
rnacentral:snRNA from 1 species